UAUGGCCUACCAAGGCAAUGACGGGUAGCGGGUCUGAGAGGAUGAUCCGCCACACUGGGACUGAGACACUGCCCAGACUCCUACGGGAGGCUGCAGUCGAGAAUCUUCCACAAUGGGCGAAAGCCUGAUGGAGCGACGCUGCGUGCAGGAUGAAGGCCUUAGGGUUGUAAACUGCUGUCACGCUAUAGGAAACUAUUGGGGUUAAUAGCUCCAGUAUUGACCAAAGCGAGAGGAAGUGCCGGCUAACUCCGUGCCAGCAGCCGCGGUAAGACGGAGGGCGCAAGCGUUGUUCGGAAUCACUGGGCAUAAAGAGCACGUAGGCUGUCAGCUAAGUCGGGUGUGAAAACCCUCGGCCCAACCGGGGAACUGCAUUCGAAACUGGCUGACUCGAGGACAGGAGGGGUGAGUGGAACUCCAGGUGGAACGGUGAAAUGUGUAGAUAUCUGGAGGAACACCGGUGGCGAAAGCGACUUACUGGGCCGUCUCUGACGCUGAGGUGCGAAAGCUAGGGUAGCGAACGGGAUUAGAUACCCCGGUAGUCCUAGCCGUAA
rnacentral:rRNA from 1 species